rnacentral:lncRNA from 1 species
CCAUCUUUUUCCAUGUCCUUUAAGUUAUCUUUGCUAUUUCUCAAGCAUGUGAACACCAUGGAAUUUCUCUUGGUGGCACUCUUUUUAUUUGUUAAUCUUGCUGCUUUCUUAACCGCUGAUAGGUUGGCCAGGUGGUACGGCACUGUGGUGUACAAGCUCUCUGGGUCUUCAUGGGUGUUCAAGUUGUCAUUAGCUGGGUUCGUUCAUGCAUUGUCUAUGGUGGCUUCAACAUUCCACUUUAUUGCAUAUAUAAAACUUUUGGUAUAACCGUGCUUUAAACCUUUUUCUAUUAUAUAAUUUAUCUCUUUCUCAUAGUCAUUCCUGCUGGUAGAGUAAAUGUAUGCCCUACAUAUAAAGGAUCUGAAGGCAGCUUUUUUAUACUUCACUGGGUCCGCCAACCAAUUUGGUAUGAUGAUAGGGCAAUAUGUGGGCUUUUUGUAGACCCGCGUUUUGUAAGCGUCCUGCAUCACUUCUAUUUCGAUGUCUAAGAAGUGUACUUUAGAUUCACUUCUUUGUUCCUGCUUAAGUUG